AACCCAGCCUCUGGUGGAAGGCAGAGUAGGGUCAGCCUCUGGAAACUUGGCCUUUAGGUCGAGCGUGCUUUUCUUUCGACGGUUCGGUUGCUGUGUUUGGUCUUUUCCUCCUGUGCUGGGCUCACGUUGCCAAAAUUGAUUUGGGUCCAAGGCAGGCAAUGCGCUACGGGAGGUGUAGAAAAUUAGCACAGAGGAAGCCGUAGCAAAUAAACCAACACCAGGCUGGGAACGGGACAGCACCGAAUUUAAAUUCACCCCAAAUCCUAAAAUGCCACAACGCGUCCCCAAAUUUCCCCCCAGCUGAAGGGAGGGGGCUUGGGGACAAUGUGAGGGCAGGAGGUGGCUCCUGCCCGGUGCCUCUGCUCCGCUCUGGCCUGGCCGAUGCCACAAAACCAGGUUUAAUUCUUCCCUUUUGGCCCCAAAUUUGCCGUCCAGCCCCACGCCAAAUUGUAAUAAAAUUACCGGAGUAUUUUAUCUAAUUAGUUUAAGCUAAUUUCGAGGCAAUUGGGUACAAGCUGUUGGUUCAGCCGGGAGGGCUGCUGUCCUGGGAGGUGGGUUAAAAUCAAAGAGGUGAAAUUGCACCGGGGUUUCAUUGCUCCCUCCGUAAACCCUCUCCCUCGCUGCUCUCAUGCUCAAACCCCGCAUUCCUCGGAAGGUCUGGGGGCGGCGUGGGAGCCCGGGCAGCUUUUUAAUAAAGGACG